UACGUAGGGGGCUAGCGUUGUCCGGAAUCAUUGGGCGUAAAGCGCGUGUAGGCGGUCCGGUAAGUCCGCUGUGAAAGUCGGGGGGCUCAACCCUCGGAUGCCGGUGGAUACUGUCGGGCUUGAGUACGGAAGAGGCGAGUGGAAUCCUGGUGUAGCGGUGAAAUGCGCAGAUAUCAGGAGGAACACCAAUUGCGAAGGCAGCUCGCUGGGACGUUACUGACGCUGAGACGCGAAAGCGUGGGGAGCAAACAGG
rnacentral:rRNA from 1 species